AUAUGUCCUCAACUGCCACAUCCACACGUUGUUUUCACACUUCCAGGGAUGGUGACUCCACUACUGCUCGGGGCAGCCUGUGCUAGGCCCUGCCA